ensembl:lncRNA
CCAAACUGAAGUGUUUUUAAGCAUGUAACCUAUGUAUUAUAUGUUAUAAGAUUGUGCCACUUGCUGAAUAAGAUUUAAUAAUUAGGAUUAAUAUCUGACCUUUGACCGUGUCAUGACCUAUUGUGAUAAGCCAGAGCAGGGGUACUCAGAGUCCUGACUGGCCUUUGGCCAAGACCUUGGCCGCUAUCUGACCCCAGCAGCUGUGCGGGGCGUGUGGGAAAGUUACCCAGCAGCAGGGGGCGGCGAUACUGGUCCCUAUAUUAGGGGACCAGAGGACGCCCCCAGGGCUCUUUUCCUCCUGCUGCUGCUACCUGUCCGUCUCCGUGUUGCUCUGCUGUCUGUGCUUAAGGCUGUACACCCCGGGGUUUUGCUUUGCUUGCUUUCUGCUUUGUAAUUUUCUUGCUAAAUGUCUGUAUGUAUUUUUCCUGCUGUUCAUAUGAUUCAGUGUAUUAAACUCUGUUCCAAGAAUUCUACUCUUUUACAGAGCAUCUUUUUGACUGUCUUGGUUUUAAUUGGAUUUGGAUCUCCACAUCGUUUGUGGAAGAAGGUUAUCAGAAUGGCUUCAAAAUUUGCGACCACAAUUGGCGACGUACGAAGGGACAAGGAAUUAAGGUGAUUGCUGGGAGCCUUGGGGAAUGCCAAAGCCUUGCACAUCAGAGAACACCAAGCGGCCGCUACAAUAAGAUGAAGGAGCUCACCAACUGAGGGGGAGAAACACAGAGCACCAGUGAAAGACAGCAGGCCAUGAGCCUGUGGAGAAGAGCAACACUGGCACUGCGAAGGCCUACGUCACUGAUGAGGCCUGCACAAAGGUGGAGAGGAGGAGUCAGCUGUAUGACGACAUCCAAUGGUUGGCACGUGUGAAAGCCCAGGAACUCCAGAGAGGAGCGUCCAAGUGAAGAUCCACAAUUCAUGAAACUGAGUCUCCUCGAGUCCAAUGAAAGACUGUAUCUGCAGAGGGCUGGAAAAGUGUAUUAAAACACACUUUUAGUCAGCUGACAUACUCAUCAAUCUGCUGAGUGGCCUCUAAGAACCAACAUUGUCUGCAUCUGGGAUGUUCUCUGUGUGGAUGUUCCUGGAGAACGCCAAGAGGAUUGUGGGCAGCACCGUAACAACAAGGAAUUUACUGCCAAGAGAAAUCCUCAGUACAUGGACUGUGACUGAUACCAGAGUACUAACUAUGCAUGAUAUCUGCAGUGAACAACAUGAAGCAGCUGCAUCAGUAAUGCUCCCAACAAACUAAUAAGUUUAAAGCCCUGGGCUCCACCCCUUGUGUUACUCUCCCAGUAGAAAAAGAACACAUAUAAUAAGAACUAGGCCACAUGAAAGCAUUAGAUGGGAGAUUAUUAGAAAUAUAUUCAUUACUAACACUCUUACAUUAGAAUAUUAUUUAAGAUUAGGAAAUUUGAAUACAUAAAGGGCGCAGACAUGACUCCCAUUGACACUAGAACAGACACAGGGCAUUAGAACCCCAGUAGGGCAGGGGACAGAUAAGUAAACUUAGAGAAGUUAUUAAUCACCUUAUGAGCAUUGCAUUAUUGAAGGGAUGAGACCUAUACAUGGGGAUUUACUAAAAGUUGGGGUAAUGAUGAAACUCAGGAUCCCUGGUAACAUGAAAUGAGAAAUUUAAACAUCUGCUGUUUCUGACCCUGGUACACUGCUCUUGGGUAUCCCCCUGACAUGUAUGUAACUGUGUGGGUGCAAAUAUGUGUGAAUCUGUGUGCAGAUAUGACAAAUAAUCUGUCUUUUAUCUUUUUCAGUGCAGCUACAUAUAGACCAGUGGCAGCUACCUCUGUUCCUGUGUUGAAGCUAAUAGUAAGAUGCUAGCUCUAAAUGUGCAGCACUAAACCAUCCAUAGUGCGAUAAUUCAGUGUGUGUGCAAUUUGUAGUUACUUUCAAAUGGAAGAAAGAUAAAAAUGAAUGCAGUGUGGAGGAGAAAGCAGUGAAGGAUUCUGUCAUAAUCUUAACUGCAUUGGGAAAAGGGGGGAACAUAUAGCUUAGCAGAGCUAAAUUGUUAACUCUCCCAAAGAAUGAACCAAACAAAAAAAAAAGAGAAAAUCUAAAUUAUCAGAUAUUUUGGAGGGAAAGAGGCUAAAGCCUGAUCCCCUAUAAAAAUGAGCAAACCUCAAAUUAGAAAAAUGUGGCAUAAAUUAUCUUUCCUGUGUGUGGCAGGGUCCAGUUGUCUGUGGAUUGACAUAUUUAAAUUACUCAAAUGCUUACUCUAGCAAAAACUGCAGAGCUAAAUGACUCUAUUCUAGUUCUAUUCUAGUUCCAGUGUGAAGAGGUAGAGUUUGAAGCACUGAGGAGGGACAUGCAGUCUGACCGGGCACUUAGCAACCAAAAGGAAAGAGAAGAACAUUUCAUUGGUAUGGGGCAAACUGAGAAGAUUAAGGUAAGGCAGAGUUGAGUCAGAAUGAUUAAACCUCAAUAGGUAAGCAACUAUUGACCUAGUACAAUCCAAAUUUACAAAAGUUGAAGUAGACCUUUUACCCUGCAAUUAGCACUGUUUGUUUUUCAGGAGGUCUCAGUGUUCAUCAUGGCCAUCCAGGUGUAUUGUAAAUAUAAUGCCAAUUACAUGUAUUAUUUACGGUCCAAAAUUUACUAUCACUCAAGUUAAGGAAAAUGGGGUGUGAAGUAAUUGUCUGCCUCAGAGUCCACCACCAAAAUGUGUAACAAGGUCCAAUUAGGGAAUUUCUUAUGAUUACUGUCUAUGAACACCCCAUGCAUGAAAAUUUGUAUGAAUAGUCUAAUACACCUGUUUUAGCUUUUCAAUGGCUAUUUUUCUAUAAGAACAAAGGCUGUCAUGCUGUAUAUUAUUCAACUCAAGGUUGAACAGGCAUGAAAUUAUGUUGCCAGUCAUCUAAAGGCACAUUAUUAUCUAAGGAUAAACUGCAAAAAUAAAACAUUACAAAACAAUUAUUUAUCUGACCCCCUUUUAGCAAGAAAUUUGGAGAAGAGGAACUCCCUUUUUAACAGGAAUAAAUGCCCAGUAGAACUGGGCACAGGGGGGAGUGGUCAUCUGCUGCGACCAGCUGAGUGAGGAGAAAGAGACAGGACUAAAAACAUGCUGUGUAGGAGACCCAGAGAUUGAUAAUAACUAAUAAUAACUCAAAAGAGAGACCUAAAAAACUGGAGGCCUGGCUUCCCAUUCUACUUUUAAAUAUUCUAGUAAGCUUAAAGUUUGAGAGUCAAGUGGGGAGAUACAGUACUAUAGGAGCAGGAUGGUAAUUAAAAAACAGAUUUAACAAGGAGCCUAUGAAGAGAAGUCAAUAAAAGAAAUAUACUCUGUCAUUCUAGUCCCUUUCAGUAUUCAUGUGCAACAUUUUGAUGUAGUUGAAUGCUUUUUAAGGAGUUUUUACCACAACCUGAUAAUAACAACAGCUCAGCCUAGAAGUAAUAAAUGCAUGAAUUUGUCUUUCAGCAUCACUCUGGGACAGGACUUUAGAGAUAUUGCAGAAAUUGAAGAAAGCAGUCCUUAAUAUUCACAUAUUAGUGCAUAUUGGGAUUUAAAAAAUUACUCCAAGAAACCUCACAGUGUUAAUGGAGACCAAGGUAAUGCCAUUCAGGGCAUUCCUUUAGGUUGACUGACAGGUGUGUGUUGCCUGGCUUCAUGGAUGAAUGAGAGAGAGGGUGUCAUCAGCACGGCAGAGGUAUGUUGUGUCUUUUGUGGUGUUACCUGAAGGAGGCACAUGUUAUGUAAACAGAAAUAGAUCUUGGGGUGGAACCUUGUGAAGCUCAAUGGUUAGUCUUGUGUAUGUGGGAGGAUUCUUAGAAUAACAUGGUCACAAGUGUCGGACAUAGAGAUCAAUCCACUGUCAGAGGCCUUAAGAAGAUCAUUUUUAACUUUCAUCAAAGCUGUUUCUAUACUGUGAGGUGCUCUGAAACCUGACUGAAACUCUUUAAAUAAGGCAUUCCUCUGUGGCUAUUUUACAGCAUCUCUUGUGGGGAUUUUUGACAUAAAGGAAAGUUGGAGGCCUAUAAUUGGCUAGGACAGUUAGGUCAAGUGAUGGUUUAACUACUGCCAACAUGAAGAACUGUGUGGUCAAUGUUGCAUUGUCUAACUUAGCUUUGAAAAUUCCAAUUCUGUGGCUAUAGAGGUGUGGGAAGUUUGAUCAGCCAUAUAGCCAGCAACACUAAGUAGAGGGCUAACAGUGUUAAUGAUGAAAUGUGAACUGGCCGGUGACAGAGUUAAUGUUUAUCCAAAUUCAGCAUAUAAAUUUGACAUGUGCUCAAUAGUGUUUAAGAACAAAGGAGAUCUUAGAGAAGCCAACAGAGCCCCAAUACUGUAUGAAGAAGCAGUAACUCAGCUCCUAGUCGCCCUAAAGCUCCCUGGUGCUUUGGCUGUGAUUAGAUGUCUUGAUCACCAGAAAACAGACACAUUAACACCUAAAUGAAACAACAUGUUAGAGCUUUACUAUGCACUUCCUAAAUUGAUAGCUAGGUAAAGAUAAGUAAAGCUUUCUCUUUAUAACAGCAUUUGAGACAAACAUUUCAAAGUGCUUCACAAAAUAAAGCAAUGAAUUGGAAUUUGUUAAGGAAGAGGUCAACUGGGUACAAAUAUUAACUUUAGUACUAAGGUGCAUGCAGUUGUGAACUAACAAGACUAAAACAACUAACAUUGCAUGGCAUACUCACAAAGGUCCAUAGAUAAGUCCUCAUAAAGGGCCUGUAUUGGUAACUGUGAACACAACUAAUGCAGUCUGCAAAGCUAUCUUUCUGCAGGAGAUGGCUUCUGGAUGGCAGAUGGAGAUGCAGAGGUCCUGGAGCAGGUGCUGGCAAUCUGAUGACGAGUGCGAGGGAACAACGGGGUGAAACAGGCUGCUCCAGACAGCUGAGCCAUGACCCAUCCAGUAGCUGCUGAACCUGCUGCAGAGCCUACAGCCCAGGUGGAGCUGUACCGUGCCCAAACCAGCUUCCGAAUGAUGGAUGUGCAAGAUCAACUACUACCCAGCGCCGACCCUGACUUUAGUCAAGAGUAGGACCAAGUCGUCUCGAGUAUUCUUAGAAGCUAUGCAAGAUCCAGCAGUCAAGAAGUACCAUAAGAGACUUUUCUCGGACUCAUAAAUUAGUUGAAAUAUGGACUGAAAAAGGGACACAAGUUGAGUAAAGGUUGAAGCUGACUGCAGAGAAAUGUCAACCUUGAAGCUAACAAAGGACAUUUCAAAGCCCACACUGAGAAGUCUGUUCAGAAGAAGAAGUUGCACCUGACCAAGAUGAGAUCCAAGAUUGGAAAUUAGUUGUUUAAUCGUGUUAUUAUUUUAAUGUCACUAAUGGUGUUGUGUAGUCCAUGUAUGUAUUAUGUGUCUCUGCUGAUGUGUUUUGUGCCUUACUUUCAUUUUCCUGUAAUUAGGCUGAUUUUUAAGUUUCUUGAGUAUUCUGUUUAGGAUACUGUGGAGUAUGAUUUGCAAAUGAAGAUGAAUCAAUUUGUCUUAAAUUAAUUGACUAAGAGAAAUGGAAUCUUGGGAGAAUGUUAUGUUGAUGACUAUGAGGUUUUUGGUAGAAGGAAGGGCUUAUUCAUUUGAGCAAUAACGGUGUGGGAUCUUUAUACAAAUUCUUAUGUUCUAUUUAGAGCUUGCUUUAAAAUAUGUUAGCAAAAAAACAGCGCACGCAUUAGUUUUCACAAUUUUUGUUCUUCUUUAGUUAUGGGGUCUUUUUAGGUGGUACCUCUAGGUACCACAGGGGGGAAUGUGGUGGAUUUUUGUUUGAUAUGUAUAACUAUGUAACUAUAUACACUAUAUAUCUGUGUGCACUGAACAUAUAUAUUUUAACUUUCAUGUAGAGUCUUAAGCACAAGACAUUUUGCUUCACCGAGGUUUAUUAAGUUGGUACUGUAACAGGGCAGUUAAUGUAGGGGGAGAGUUCUCUUGAAUAAUUUACUUAAUAAUUAAUUAAUUUAACGUCUUUAAUGCAGCACAACCAAAACAGUAACAUUGUAAUAGAGAUCCUGAACACAUCACGAUAAAAUAUCAUACAAAAUACACACACACACACACACACACACACACACACACACACACUCUGAACCCAAACUGAAGUGUUUUUAAGCAUGUAACCUAUGUAUUAUAUGUUAUAAGAUUGUGCCACUUGCUGAAUAAGAUUUAAUAAUUAGGAUUAAUAUCUGACCUUUGACCGUGUCAUGACCUAUUGUGAUAAGCCAGAGCAGGGGUACUCAGAGUCCUGACUGGCCUUUGGCCAAGACCUUGGCCGCUAUCUGACCCCAGCAGCUGUGCGGG